rnacentral:rRNA from 1 species
GAUGAACGCUGGCGGCGUGCCUAAUACAUGCAAGUCGAGCGAACGGACGAGAAGCUUGCUUUUCUGAUGUUAGCGGCGGACGGGUGAGUAACACGUGGAUAACCUACCUAUAAGACUGGGAUAACUUCGGGAAACUGGAGCUAAUACCGGAUAAUAUUUUGAACCGCAUGGUUCAAAAGUGAAAGACGGUCUUGCUGCCACUUAUAGAUGGAUCCGCGCUGCAUUAGCUAGUUGGUAAGGUAACGGCUUACCAAGGCAACGAUGCAUAGCCGACCUGAGAGGGUGAUCGGCCAUACUGGAACUGAGACACGGUCCAGACUCCUACGGGAGGCAGCAGUAGGGAAUCUUCCGCAAUGGGCGAAAGCCUGACGGAGCAACGCCGCGUGAGUGAUGAAGGUCUUCGGAUCGUAAAACUCUGUUAUUAGGGAAGAACAUAUGUGUAAGUAACUGUGCACAUCUUGACGGUACCUAAUCAGAAAGCCACGGCUAACUACGUG